CGUACACUCCUACGGGAGGCAGCAGUGGGGAAUAUUGGACAAUGGGCGCAAGCCUGAUCCAGCCAUGCCGCGGGAGUGAUGAAGGCCCUAGGGUUGUAAAGCUCUUUCACCGGAGAAGAUAAUGACGGUAUCCGGAGAAGAAGCCCCGGCUAACUUCGUGCCAGCAGCCGCGGUAAUACGCAGGGGGCUAGCGUUGUUCGGAAUUACUGGGCGUAAAGCGCACGUAGGCGGAUCGAUCAGUCAGGGGUGAAAUCCCAGGGCUCAACCCUGGAACUGCCUUUGAUACUGUCGAUCUGGAGUAUGGAAGAGGUGAGUGGAAUUCCGAGUGUAGAGGUGAAAUUCGUAGAUAUUCGGAGGAACACCAGUGGCGAAGGCGGCUCACUGGUCCAUUACUGACGCUGAGGUGCGAAAGCGUGGGGAGCAAACAGGAUUAGAUACCCCUGUAGUCCCA
rnacentral:rRNA from 1 species